rnacentral:snoRNA from 1 species
ACUGAGGAAUGAUGACAGUAAAAGGCCGAAUUGCAGUGCUGUCCAUAAGCAGUUUGCUCUCUGUAUGGAGCACAAUGACAAAGUCUACAGAAGUGAACUUAGUCUGACCUCAGU